UACGUAGGGUGCAAGCGUUAAUCGGAAUUACUGGGCGUAAAGCGUGCGCAGGCGGUUUUGUAAGUCUGUCGUGAAAUCCCCGGGCUCAACCUGGGAAUUGCGUUGGAGACUGCAAGGCUAGAAUCUGGCAGAGGGGGGUAGAAUUCCACGUGUAGCAGUGAAAUGCGUAGAGAUGUGGAGGAACACCGAUGGCGAAGGCAGCCCCCUGGGUCAAGAUUGACGCUCAUGCACGAAAGCAUGGGGAGCGAACAGG
rnacentral:rRNA from 1 species